UAUUAUUUGGCAGAUAAAUGCAUUAAGUUUAAGCCUUAAUUAAGAUACUUCUAAUCAAUC
rnacentral:tRNA from 1 species